UUAAUCUAGCCACAGUCAUAGUAGAACAUAGCCGAUCUGAAAAAAACAUUCCCAAUAUUUAUGUAUUUUAGCAUAAAAUUCUGUUUAGUGGUCUACCUUAUACUUUGUUUUGCACACAUCUUUUAAGAGGAAGUUAAUUUUCUGAUUUUAAGAAAUGCAAAUGUGGGGCAAUGAUGUAUUAACCCAAAGAUUCUUCGUAAUAGAAAAUGUUUUUAAAGGGGGGAAACAGGGAUUUUUAUUAUUAAAAGAUAAAAGUAAAUUUAUUUUUUAAGAUAUAAGGCAUUGGAAACAUUUAGUUUCACGAUAUGCCAUUAUUAGGCAUUCUCUAUCUGAUUGUUAGAAAUUAUUCAUUUCCUCAAAGACAGACAAUAAAUUGACUGGGGACGCAGUCUUGUACUAUGCACUUUCUUUGCCAAAGGCAAACGCAGAACGUUUCAGAGCCAUGAGGAUGCUUCUGCAUUUGAGUUUGCUAGCUCUUGGAGCUGCCUACGUGUAUGCCAUCCCCACAGAAAUUCCCACAAGUGCAUUGGUGAAAGAGACCUUGGCACUGCUUUCUACUCAUCGAACUCUGCUGAUAGCCAAUGAGGUAAUUUUCUUUAUGAUUCCUACAGUCUGUAAAGUGCAUAGGUAAUCAUUUGUGAUGGUUCCUUUACUAUAUAUAGAGAUCUGUUAUAAAUAAUAAGAUUCUGAGCACAUUAGUACAUGGGUGAUAACUACAUCACCAGCAAACAUUCUGUUAAAAGUUAUGAAUGCUGGUGUGCUGUAAAAAUGAUUGUAUUUCCUUUCCUCUCCAGACUCUGAGGAUUCCUGUUCCUGUACAUAAAAAUCACCAACUGUGCACUGAAGAAAUCUUUCAGGGAAUAGGCACACUGGAGAGUCAAACUGUGCAAGGGGGUACUGUGGAA
rnacentral:lncRNA from 1 species